UAGUGCGAUCAUACCAGCAAUAAUGCACCGGAUCCCAUCAGAACUCCAAAAUUAAGCUUGCUUGGGUGAGAGAUGUACUUGGAUGGGUGACCUCCUGGGAAGUACAUCCUCGUUUUGCACCCU
rnacentral:rRNA from 1 species